GUCUUGGUGGUAUAGUGGUGAGCAUAGCUGCCAUCCAAGCAGUUUACCUGGGUUUGACUCCCAGGCAAUACA